rnacentral:lncRNA from 1 species
AAUGCAUUUAGCUUUGAGCUGAAGAAAGCUGCGGCUGGUGCAAGCAUCUCUCAGCUCACACAGGCAUUAACAUAUACGGUCAUUGUCUCUGCUGCUUCCCACUGCAGCUUUAUAUAAUAAAACAAGCCGCGUCAAAUAGGCUAGGCUGUAAUAUUAGGUAAAAUCUAAUUUCAGUUUGGUUAUCACAUAGCGUUCAUUUCCCUAAGGGAGGAGAAAAAAUUAAAUUUGUAAGCUUAAGAUUCCAGCUGAAGUACUCAAGAAUCCUGUUUCUCUGACAGAGGAAACGAACAACAACUUGACUGGACACAUCCUAACCCAACCAUACGCUGUGUUACUUCCUCUACUGCGCCACACACAGCUAUUAUUCUAAGCUUUCUUAUUCAAACCCUUAAGGAUUUGUAAGGUAGAAACUCUUCCACAUGGCUGAAUCUCUGCUGCUUAUUUUUAGUUGAGUACUGUUGCUGUGAGGAUUCUUCUACACUUUCUCUUUCACUGAAUCUUUUGCCUUUAAAAUAAAAUUGUUUCUGUUCUAUAAAACCUACAAAGACUUUAGAAUGUUGUCCUUUGAAGAUUCUAGCUCAAU